rnacentral:rRNA from 1 species
CUGCAGCCCGAGUGGUGAUCGAUUUUAUUGAGCCUAAAGCGUCCGUAGCCGGACUAGUAAACCCUUGGGUAAAUUGGGCAGCUUAACUGUCCAAAUUCCGAGGGGACUGCUAGUCUUGGGACCGGGAGAGGUCAGAGGUACUCAAGGGGUAGGGGCUAAAUCCUGUAAUCCUUUGGGGACCACCAGUGGCGAAGGCGUCUGACUAGAUCGGAUCCGACGGUAAGGGACGAAACCCUGGGGCGCGAACCGGAUUAGAUACCCGAGUAGUCC